AAUUUGCCAGUCCGUUAUUUAUGGAAAGAGAGACGUGUUCCAGUUUGAUCUCAUCCUUCGCAAGGGAGAGUUCGAACGCAAGGUUGAAGGCUGCUUCCUCAACUUUUGGUGUUUGCAUAACACAUUUAGUGUCAAUAGACCAAUCCAAACUGAGGCACUUCUCAUCUGCAGUCGAUUUACUCUUCAAGUCUGGGAAAAACUGAGUAAUUUUUAUUUUGGAGUCUUGCCCCUUUAAAUCAGCAGUCCCGACACCUGGGGUAAUACCCAUCGCUCUGUAUCCUGUUCUUGGCACAGAUGGAUCCCAGUAUUGGCUUCAAGUCCCAUGGUGCUUAAAUCCAUCUCCAGUUUAGUCAAAGUGCAACUGUGUGAUGACUGUAACACAGAACACAGUCACCACCCAUUUCUGCCAGUCCUCUUACAUGGACUGAGUUCUGCUGAGGAGACCUUAUUGCUCUACCAAGUCAUUGAUUGCAGAGAGAAAAGAAAGUAUGAAUAAGAUUCUGCUUCUCAGUAUCUCCGUCCUUCUCUGGUCUGCCCUGGCUGAUGCUCUUCUCUGCAGUGUCUGCCAAGAAUAUGAUAUGGCUUUUGGGUGUGUCACUGGAGAAUUGACUUGUGAACCUAAGCCAGGACAGAAGUGCAAGCUGGUCUUCAUUGAAGAGGGAGAAAUGCCUUUUUAUAGGGAAGGGUGCACUACAGUACUUGGACAAUGUGACACUAUAGUGCUUAAUAUUAAUGGCAAAAGAACAACAACAUGCUGUGAUUCUCACGACCUCUGCAACAAACCAAUAUGAAAGUAACUGUCGAACCAUCAGGCCUUUCUCCUCUACCGUAUCAAGCAUUCAAGGGCUCAUUCUACUCUCUCCCCAAGCUUCCAAAGCCUCUGCUGUAGAAAAGUAUAUUCUGGGUCACCUAUCAAAUAGUCAAAUUGCCAAUGCUAUCAAAUAUCAAUGCAUGCCAGCUACUAAAUGAUACUAGAUACCAAGAAGAAUUGACUGUCAAAUGCUGACACCUACCAAUAUAACAUACUAUGGGAGAUAGCAAAUACUGAUUUUCAAAACAACUAUGUAAUUUCUCAAACAUUCACAAAUGUUCUAAUGGCAUUGCAUCAAAUUCUAAUCACACUUAUUUGUUUUGUAUGUAGUGUUUAAAAAAUAACAAUCUAUUUAUAUUAAAAAGGGAACAACAUUGGUGCAUGAUGUUCACAAUACAGAAUUAGGUGGGAAACAAUAUUUGUUUCAUUUCAUGCAUCAGACAGUUAUGUCUUUCAUUCAUCCCAGCCAGUCAGUCCAUAGAGUCCCAUGUGUGGUUGGUGGACUCCUCAGACCAUCUUGUGUAUUAAUCUAUAGAAUAAAAGCAUGGCAUUUAUCUGCAAAGUCCUCCUCAUCUUCAGCCAUCCUCAAAGCUCAGAUUUAUUUAGUCAUUUUCUCUGCCAAAGUUUUUUUGCCAAAUACACCAUAUUUGUACUGAACCACCAUUUUCAUUUUCCCAGUAUUGUGCAAUUACCUGUCUUGCAGUCAUAAAAUGAAAAGGUUAGCAUCCCUUUAAA